CUUCCCUGCAUCUUCAACAUUUCUAGCCUCCAAAACCUCCUCAGUCUCUUCAGUUUUCUUCUCAACCUUACACGUCUUCUCAUCAUCAUCAUCUUCAUGCUAGCCAUAUUUGAUCUCCUCACCUUUCUCAUCAUUCCAAUCCCUUAGCUUUUUGUAGACAGCCAUGGCAUCUUUCUUUCUUCCUUUAAUUGGUACAAAUGCUAUACCUCUGGCAUAAGGUGACGCACUGCAUGCAAAUCUCAUCUUGACACCGUGAGAGGUAUUCUUGAGCCUGCCCCAUCCAAUCCUUAGCAGUGCCCUCCAUUUUGUUU
rnacentral:lncRNA from 1 species